AUCCUCGCUUCAUGAGGACAUAUACUGAAAUUGAAACUAAACAGAGAAGUUUAGCAUGGCCCCUGCGUAAGGUUGACACACAAAUCCGUGAAGUGUUAUAUAUAUAU